rnacentral:rRNA from 1 species
GACGUAGGGGGCGAGCGUUGUCCGGAUUUAUUGGGCGUAAAGCGCGCGCAGGCGGUCGGCAAAGUCGGAUGUGAAAACCAGGGGCUCAACCCUUGGCCUGCAUCCGAUACUUGUCGACUAGAGGCAGGUAGGGGAGAUCGGAAUUCCUGGUGUAGCGGUGAAAUGCGCAGAUAUCAGGAGGAACACCGGUGGCGAAGGCGGAUCUCUGGGCCUGUCCUGACGCUCAGGCGCGAAAGCUAGGGGAGCAAACAGG